rnacentral:rRNA from 1 species
UACGGAGGUCUCAAGCGUUGUUCGGAAUUACUGGGCGUAAAGGGUGCGCAGGCCGCGCGGGCAGUCAAAUGUGUAAUCCAGGGGCUCAACCCCCUGAACUGCGCUUGAUACUUCCGCGCUCGAGCUUUGGAGAGGAGUCUGGAAUUCUCGGUGUAGCAGUGAAAUGCGUGGAUAUCGAGAAGAACACUUAGGGCGUAGGCAAGACUCUGGACAAAUGCUGACGCUCAUGCACGAAGGCUAGGGUAGCGAACGGG